UACAGAGGGGGCAAGCGUUAUUCGGAAUUAUUGGGCGUAAAGGGCGCGUAGGCGGCUUGGCAAGUGGAAGGUGAAAUCCCUCGUCUUAACCGAGGAACUGCCCUCCAAACUGCUUCGCUUGAGACCGGGAGAGGUGAGUGGAAUUCCCAGUGUAGCGGUGAAAUGCGUAGAUAUUGGGAGGAACACCAGUGGCGAAGGCGGCUCACUGGACCGGUACUGACGCUGAUGCGCGAAAGCGUGGGGAGCAAACGGG
rnacentral:rRNA from 1 species